UACUAUAUACUAAAUACUAUAUACAAAAUAGAUAAACAACAAGUUUAUGCUGUGUAGCACAGGGAACUAUAUUCAUUAUCUUACAGUAACUUCUGGUGAAAGAUAGUAUGAAAAUGAAUAUAUGUAUGUUCCUAUAUGACUGAAGCAUUGUGCUUUACACCAGAAAUUGACACAUUGUAAACUGACUAUACUUCAAUAAAAAUAUAUUAAAAAA